UCAGGACGAACGCUGGCGGCGUGCUUAACACAUGCAAGUCGAGCGAUGAAGCUCUUCGGAAGUGGAUUAGCGGCGGACGGGUGAGUAACACGUGGGUAACCUGCCUCAUAGAGGGGAAUAGCCUUCCGAAAGGAAGAUUAAUACCGCAUAAGAUUGUAAUAUCGCAUGAUAUAGCAAUUAAAGGAGUAAUCCGCUAUGAGAUGGACCCGCGUCGCAUUAGCUAGUUGGUGAGGUAACGGCUCACCAAGGCGACGAUGCGUAGCCGACCUGAGAGGGUGAUCGGCCACAUUGGGACUGAGACACGGCCCAGACUCCUACGGGAGGCAGCAGUGGGGAAUAUUGCACAAUGGGGGAAACCCUGAUGCAGCAAACCGCCGCGUGAGUGAUGACGGUCUUCGGAUUGUAAAGCUCUGUCUUCAGGGACGAUAAUGACGGUACCUGAGGAGGAAGCCACGGCUAACUACGUGCCAGCAGCUGC
rnacentral:rRNA from 1 species